rnacentral:rRNA from 1 species
AGUUUGAUCCUGGCUCAGGAUGAACGCUGGCGGCGUGCUUAACACAUGCAAGUCGAACGAAGCACUUUGGACAGAUUCUUCGGAUGAAGUCCUUAGUGACUGAGUGGCGGACGGGUGAGUAACGCGUGGGUAACCUGCCUCAUACAGGGGGAUAACAGUUAGAAAUGGCUGCUAAUACCGCAUAAGCGCACGGUACUGCAUGGUACAGUGUGAAAAACUCCGGUGGUAUGAGAUGGACCCGCGUUGGAUUAGCUAGUUGGCAGGGUAACGGCCUACCAAGGCGACGAUCCAUAGCCGGCCUGAGAGGGUGGACGGCCACAUUGGGACUGAGACACGGCCCAGACUCCUACGGGAGGCAGCAGUGGGGAAUAUUGCACAAUGGGGGAAACCCUGAUGCAGCGACGCCGCGUGGAGGAAGAAGGUCUUCGGAUUGUAAACUCCUGUUGUUGGGGAAGAUAAUGACGGUACCCAACAAGGAAGUGACGGCUAACUACGUGCCAGCAGCCGCGGUAAAACGUAGGUCACAAGCGUUGUCCGGAAUUACUGGGUGUAAAGGGAGCGCAGGCGGGAAGACAAGUUGGAAGUGAAAUCCAUGGGCUUAACCCAUGAACUGCUUUCAAAACUGUUUUUCUUGAGUAGUGCAGAGGUAGGCGGAAUUCCCGGUGUAGCGGUGGAAUGCGUAGAUAUCGGGAGGAACACCAGUGGCGAAGGCGGCCUACUGGGCACCAACUGACGCUGAGGCUCGAAAGUGUGGGUAGCAAACAGGAUUAGAUACCCUGGUAGUCCACACCGUAAACGAUGAUUACUAGGUGUUGGAGGAUUGACCCCUUCAGUGCCGCAGUUAACACAAUAAGUAAUCCACCUGGGGAGUACGACCGCAAGGUUGAAACUCAAAGGAAUUGACGGGGGCCCGCACAAGCAGUGGAGUAUGUGGUUUAAUUCGACGCAACGCGAAGAACCUUACCAAGUCUUGACAUCCUGUGACAGACGUAGAAAUACGUUCUUCCUUCGGGACACAGAGACAGGUGGUGCAUGGUUGUCGUCAGCUCGUGUCGUGAGAUGUUGGGUUAAGUCCCGCAACGAGCGCAACCCUUAUGGUCAGUUACUACGCAAGAGGACUCUGGCCAGACUGCCGUUGACAAAACGGAGGAAGGUGGGGAUGACGUCAAAUCAUCAUGCCCUUUAUGACUUGGGCUACACACGUACUACAAUGGCGUUAAACAAAGAGAAGCAAGACCGCGAGGUGGAGCAAAACUCAGAAACAACGUCCCAGUUCGGACUGCAGGCUGCAACUCGCCUGCACGAAGUCGGAAUUGCUAGUAAUCGUGGAUCAGCAUGCCACGGUGAAUACGUUCCCGGGCCUUGUACUCACCGCCCGUCA